rnacentral:ncRNA from 1 species
CGCUCUGGAAAGCGGGCUCAAGUUACUCGGUGACAUGAGCCCCACCGAAGGGGAAAGCCGGAACAGCACCUGAGCUGUUCCUGGUCAAUCUCUCAGGUCCAGUGACAGAGGGGG